UCCCUGGUAGUCCAGUGGUUAAGACUCCACACUUCCAUUGGAAGGAGACGUGGGUUUGAUCCCUACUCAGGGAA
rnacentral:tRNA from 1 species